AUGCCCAUUAGUGGGUGCCACAGUGGAGCAGUGCCUGUGGGUGUUGACUUGGUCUUUAAUCAUCGCCUGGGGCUGAUGUAGACCAAAUGAGAGAGGGAGGCAGAGAUUAGGGCAAGAUUUCACAUACCUUCAGAGCUUUGUGUAAUGCUGACUCAUCCUUGGCUUUUGCUACUGCACUGGCAGAGGAAUUGUCCAGGAGUGCUGUCUGGAGGAGAGACUCUCAAAAGUGGACCUGAACAUCCUUCUAAGCAGACAUGAACAGACCUCAGCUUUCUGCCUCCUGCAUAACUGGCUUACCAAGGGAAAAGAAGUCACGUAUCAGUCUACUGUCCUCAUGCGAAGGAAAGCGAGACCGACGAGACCGCGAUCAUUGUCGAAAUCAGGCAUUAGCUGUACAUCUGGGAGCGGAGCAGUCACCGCUGUCAGUGAGAUAAAUGUCUGGUUUGGUGAGGGAUCUGCUCAUGGCCCACCUGGCUCCAGUUUGCAGAGGAAUCAUCCAGGAGCCCUCGCCGGGCGAGAAUAUGCAGAAGUGGACCUCAGCAGCCUGGACAUCCUUUUAAGGAGACAUGAAUAUUCCUCAUCUUUCUGCCUUUUGCAUAACUGCCUUACCAAGGAAAAAGAAGUCACGGUCAGAGUCUACUGUCCUCAUGCGAUGGAAAGUGAGCGAGAGUGACGAGACCACGAGCAUUGUCAAAAUCAAGCAUUAGGCAUGCAUCUGGGAGCGGAGCAGCUACUGCUGUCAGUGAGAUAAGUGUCUGUUCUGGUGAGAGCUCUGCUCACGGCCCACCUGGCUCCAGGUAGGGACGUCUUGUUAGUUGGGCCUGGGUUUGUAACAAAAUGUUCAUGACUAGCUGUGGUUAUGAGGGAGACUGGGUCCCCAUUUUCAGGGUCUGCUCAUUUCUCUGCUGACAAGAGAUGUGUCCUCUGCAGAAAAGGUAGGUUCCAGGUGGCGAGUUGCUUGCCUUCCUCCCGUGUUACUCUCUCUCUCUCUCUUCUCUAGUGUUGGCCAACACACUCUGUCAGUCUGUCCUUGCCUCUUUUUCUGCUGUUUCACUUCAUUGCACACAGGCAGGUGAGUUAGCUGUGUAUCCCCAGAGGCCAGGUCUCGGGAAGCAUGGCGAAGUAGGAGAGGACGAAAAUAAUGCAGGGAAGUG